AAAUGCAAAGUAAUAUUUGCACUUUCUUUUGCAUGAUUAUUUGUUAGAAUCUAUAAAGAAUAAAAAAAUCAUCCAAAAAAUCACAGUACUCUUAAAAAUACAUGGAUAUGGAAGGGCUACCAAGAGAGAUCAGCCACAGGACUUUGCUCUUUACCCUUGGUACAAGCGUCUGGUUCUCUGGCCCAUGGCGUGUUUAGACACAGAAGCAUAAAGGGUUAUGCAUUUUGACACUCCAUCUGGCAUUGAGAUCCUUCACAGAGCUCACAGUAGAACAAAUAGCCUGUCUCUUUAGAAGCUGAAAGUUUUGAAUAAUCUGUCUUCUCCAACCAUUUGGAGAUUUGUUCCCUGUCCUCCUAAUGAUAGUGAGCCCUCAAGAGCAGCACGUGUGAUUGGAUCCUUGGGAUGUGUGAGGGCACAUGUCUCUUCCUCUGAUAACCUUGAGAGUGCCAGCCUACCUCGGAGCACGUGGAAAAAGCAUAAAACCCAGAGGACUUGAAGAGGCUGUCAGCUAGGAAUACACUGUUAGGAUAGAUGGAACAGUUCCUAUUUAUGCAUAAUGGAAGUUAUUUCUUAACAAAUGCUGAAUGUUUAUUAGCUAUCAAAGAAAAAUUUGUUUUAUAAUCUUUAUUUCUGAGUUGUUGAUAUGUAUGAAUGGCAAAGUGAAGUCUUUGAUCACUAUUUUCUUAUUAUGGUAUCAAAAUAUAUGGCAUGGAUAAUGUUCAGAAUAUUCCAAAUAUUUUUUUUAAUUCAUUAAGUUUUAAGGCAUUAGUCAGCUAUUCAAUUUCCUAAGUUGCAGUUUGGGAUAUUUUAUGACAUACAUUAAUGAUUUUAAUUUUACUUAUUACCCUUUUCACCUUUGUCCAUUGAGCUGGUAAUAGCAUCAAACCAUUAUUGCAAUAUUUUUUGCAGAAACUUUAAGGAUUUCAAUAACAAAAUUGCUUAUAAAAAUGUUAUAUGUAGCUUACUUCUCAUUUUAAAAAUUAAAUUUUUGAAGGUUUCCUUAUUGUUAUAGGUAAUAAAAAUCAGUUUGUCUUUUUAUGAGUUUUAUAUUAUAACCAUUUGCCAAUAAAAUACAGAAUGAGCUUUCUCAGAUUUUAGGUG